rnacentral:rRNA from 1 species
AGAGCGAACGCUGGCGGCAGGCCUAACACAUGCAAGUCGAGCGCCCGUAGCAAUACGGGAGCGGCAGACGGGAUAGUAACACGUGGGAACGCGCCCUUCGGUUCGGAAUAACUCAGGGAAACUUGAGCUAAUACCGAAUACGCCCUUACGGGGAAAGAUUUAUUGCCGAAGGAACGGCCCGCGUCCGAUUAGCUAGUUGGUGAGGUAAUGGCUCACCAAGGCUACGAUCGGUAGCUGGUCUGAGAGGAUGACCAGCAUCACUGGGACUGAGACACGGCCCAGACUCCUACGGGAGGCAGCAGUGGGGAAUAUUGGACAAUGGGCGAAAGCCUGAUCCAGCCAUGCCGCGUGGAUGAUGAAGGCCUUAGGGUUGUAAAGUCCUUUUAACGGGGAGAUAAUGACGGUACCCGUAGAAUAAGCCCCGGCUAACUUCGUGCCAGCAGCCGC